CUACGGGCUGCACCAGUGAGGAAUAUUGCACAAUGGGGGGAACCCUGAUGCAGCAACGCCGCGUGGAGGAUGACGCAUUUCGGUGUGUAAACUCCUUUUAUAUGUCAAGAAAAUGACGGUAGCAUAUGAAUAAGCACCGGCUAACUCCGUGCCAGGCAGCCGCGGUAGAACGGAGGGUGCAAGCGUUACUCGGAAUCACUGGGCGUAAAGGACGCGUAGGCGGGUUGGAAAGUCAGGUGUGAAAUCCUACAGCUUAACUGUAGAACUGCACUUGAAACUUCUAAUCUAGAGUAUGGGAGGGGGAGAUGGAAUUAGUGGUGUAGGGGUAAAAUCCGUAGAUAUCACUAGGAAUACCUAAAGCGAAGGCGAUCUCCUGGAACAUUACUGACGCUAAGGCGUGAAAGCGUGGGGAGCAAACAGGAUUAGAUACCCGGGUAGUC
rnacentral:rRNA from 1 species